rnacentral:rRNA from 1 species
GACGAACGCUGGCGGCGUGCUUAACACAUGCAAGUCGAACGAUGAAGCCCAGCUUGCUGGGUGGAUUAGUGGCGAACGGGUGAGUAACACGUGGGCAACCUGCCCCAAACUCUGGGAUAACUCCUCGAAAGAGGUGCUAAUACCGGAUACGAACUAGACAGACAUCUGUACUAGUUGGAAAGUUUUUCGGUUUGGGAUGGGCCCGCGGCCUAUCAGCUUGUUGGUGAGGUAACGGCUCACCAAGGCUACGACGGGUAACCGGCCUGAGAGGGCGACCGGUCACACGGGGACUGAGACACGGCACAGACUCCUACGGGAGGCAGCAGUGGGGAAUAUUGCGCAAUGGGCGAAAGCCUGACGCAGCGACGCCGCGUGAGGGAUGAAGGUCUUUGGAUCGUAAACCUCUUUCAGUAGGGACGAAGCGAAAGUGACGGUACCUAAAGAAGAAGCACCGGCUAACUACGUGCCAGCCGCCGCGGUAA